rnacentral:rRNA from 1 species
GAUGAACGCUGGCGGCGUGCCUAAUACAUGCAAGUCGAGCGAACAGACGAGGAGCUUGCUCCUCUGACGUUAGCGGCGCACGGGUGAGUAACACGUGGAUAACCUACCUAUAAGACUGGGAUAACUUCGGGAAACCGGAGCUAAUACCGGAUAAUAUAUUGAACCGCAUGGUUCAAUAGUGAAAGACGGUUUUGCUGUCACUUAUAGAUGGAUCCGCGCCGCAUUAGCUAGUUGGUAAGGUAACGGCUUAGCAAGGCGACGAUGCGUAGCCGACCUGAGCGGGUGAUCGGCCACACUGGAACUGAGACACGGUCCAGACUCCUACGGGAGGCAGCAGUAGGGAAUCUUCCGCAAUGGGCGAAAGCCUGACGGAGCAACGCCGCGUGAGUGAUGAAGGUCUUCGGAUCGUAAAACUCUGUUAUUAGGGAAGAACAAAUGUGUAAGUAACUAUGCACGUCUUGACGGUACCUAAUCAGAAAGCCACGGCUAACUACGUG